UACGAAGGGGGCUAGCGUUGCUCGGAAUCACUGGGCGUAAAGCGCACGUAGGCGGCUUUCUAAGUCAGGGGUGAAAUCCUGGAGCUCAACUCCAGAACUGCCUUCGAUACUGGAGAGCUUGAGUCCGGGAGAGGUGAGUGGAACUGCGAGUGUAGAGGUGAAAUUCGUAGAUAUUCGCAAGAACACCAGUGGCGAAGGCGGCUCACUGGCCCGGUACUGACGCUGAGGUGCGAAAGCGUGGGGAGCAAACAGG
rnacentral:rRNA from 1 species